CCUACGGGAUGCUGCAGUGAGGAAUAUUGGUCAAUGGACGAGAGUCUGAACCAGCCAAGUAGCGUGAAGGAUGACUGCCCUAUGGGUUGUAAACUUCUUUUAUAUGGGAAUAAAAUGUUCCACGUGUGGGAUUUUGUAUGUACCAUAUGAAUAAGGAUCGGCUAACUCCGUGCCAGCAGCCGCGGUAAUACGGAGGAUCCGAGCGUUAUCCGGAUUUAUUGGGUUGAAAGGGAGCGUAGGUGGGUUGUUAAGUCAGUUGUGAAAGUUUGCGGCGCAACCGUAAAAUUGCAGUUGAAACUGGCAGUCUUGAGUACAGUAGAGGUGGGCGGAAUGCGUGGUGUAGCGGUGAAAUGCUUAGAUAUCACGAAGAACGCCGAUUGCGAAGGCAGUUCACUGGACUGCAACUGACACUGAGGCUCGAAAGUGUGGGUAUCAAACAGGAUUAGAUACCCCAGUAGUC
rnacentral:rRNA from 1 species